rnacentral:lncRNA from 1 species
UCCGGUUCGAAUCGUGUGAUAUAUGGUAUUGAGGUCAUUCACUCAGCUCACAUUUUAGCUGCUAGCGUCAUGUUAGCCGCUAGCGUGAUGGUAGCUCAGCGUUAGCGGCUAGCGCUAGCCUCAUGACGUUCAGUACAACUUGGGUUUGGCUGCGAUAGUAAGUUGUGAGAGUCAGCUGUGUUUCUAAUUACUCUGAGCCUGUUGUGUGUAUGUAGUAGCCCAAGAAGCCCUGUGAAUUUGGGUUAUGGCAAGUUCUAUCUAAGUCUAACAUGUAUGUUGUUGCUGUCUUCUCAUGUGUGUUGCUUAUCUAGUCAGCUAACUGUAAUUAUGACUUUGUUUUUUUUAUACAGGCUGACGUAUCCCAGCUACAGAAACGCAAGGAGGUUGCUUCUCAAACUGACACGCCACUGCAGGCUGUGGACAAGCGUCUACCUUGUGGAAGAGUUGUUGCUCACCUCAGGAGCAAAGUGUCAUGGUGCAGAUUAUGUGGAAAAGCUGAUGGAGACCAUCUUCAAUAAAGUCCUGCUGGACUCAGGUCGUUAUAUGGAGGACCCUAUUAACAUCCCUGGACCACCGGCCCUCUGAGCAGAAUUUGAGCAACCUGAGAGAAAGGAGGUCAUUAUUGUCAUGCUAAGAUUUAACAAACCAGCACUAUAAAAGCUAAGUUGAAAAUGUGUUUGCUCCAAACACCAUUACAACUGAUCUAACUACCUCUAUAUAUUGUUUACAUUUGUUAAGGUCUGAGAUACAUAGGAAAUAUUGGACAUUUCAUUAAUCUACUAUUCUCUUCUCUAUACCUUCUAGAGUGGUGUCAAAGAAAACAGCUGCAUCCUCCAUCUGUGCAGCAGCUGCACUGCUUCCGAUGUCUUCCAAAAAGUGAUGAAGACAACAAAGAUGCUCACAUCUCCCCAGCCAACUGCCCAUGAUUGUACCUGUUCUUACCUGUUCCACUCCGGAAACUUUCAACAUAACUAUGAAUCCUACCCUUUCAUUUUGUGGUCUGCACAUUGAACUGUGAAGGUAACUUUUCCAGCAUUAUAGUGCUGGUGCAUUGGUUGACAAUAAAGUUGGCUUUGACUAUUGCUGUUUGACUGAA